GGAACUUAGCCCAGGGAAUCCAACGCUUCUUUGCGGAAAUCAAGCUGUCGAAACAAAUUAGGCUGGAAAAAAAACAACCGGUGACAGAUCUGCGUGGGGAGAGAUAACAGAGCCACAUUCUCCUGGAAAAUGGCUUUUUCUAACUCACACGCAUGGGAUAGAGAGGGGACAGGUCAUUUUGGCCGAACUGUGGAGUUAAGAGGUAAAUUUCCCGGUGCAGGUGAACUGAAAGCUGUAUAAGAAGGCAAGUCUCUCAUCUGAACGCUGUUUUAACCUCCUCCAACAACCUGGCUGUCACAAUGGAAUGAAGCAAGAAAACCAUCUUUCCUGCACAUAAGUUGAAGAGGCACCUAUGCUGGUGCAAAACCUGUGCCAUAAACAAAAUCCCUGACUCUGGUACAGCGCCUGUUGUUUAAACAGAGGGCUGACUACACCACUGCUCCUGCUGCUCCUCACGCCGCCUCAAGCUGUAUUUCUCUGAGGAAGACCGACUGAAAGCUGGGAGCAGACUCCAGUGUGCUCCUGUGCCUAUUAAGAGUCAGUCAAAUUUAAUAAACCAAUAAAACCAGUGGAAAACAGAAAAA